AACUCGGACCUCCUCAUGAGAAUUCCGGUUAUUUCUUUGGGUUUUUCUUAAUUUUUCAAUUCAUUCAUACUUUUUUUCUCAAGAAAGUAAAUAUACUACAUAUGGGUGGGAAAAGGGUAGUUAUUUAUUUACUUACUGAAAUCUGAAUGCAAACUGUUCAAAUUAUGGUUGCGGUGUUCUGGAUCAUUGAAUUAUGUAUAAAAAUCAAUCAGAACCAUGCUCAAUUUGAUAAUGUUGUUGAACAAUGUGGUCGGGUUUUUCACACAUUAUCGUAGGAUUGUGUAGUGUUAGGCACUACAAGUCUGGAUGAUGUUUUCCAUUCGUGUGAUCUGUGUUGAGAUACCGUGUAAUCCACUUGAGCACUUUGAGUGUUUUUGUAUGAAACCUAUAGUGGUUGGAGAGUUUUAUCCAUCCUUAGAAUUAGUGUCCUCGAUCAUGCUAAUUUGUUAAACACUUUCCAAUAUAAGCAAAGAAUUUUAGUGGUUUCAGGCCAAAUCAUGUGAGUUUUGACGUGAACAUGUUUUGUUACACUACUUUCCAUGUAAUUCAGAAGAUGAAAACACGGAGAAUCUGUAUAUCAUGGUUAAGUAUUAUGAAUAAAUUUUGACAUUCCAAAAGAUUGCUGCAUAUUCAUUUCAGAACUUCAUAACCUUUCUUCUUAGUAAAAUGAAUUAACCAAGAUUGUUUUUUCUUUAUUAUUUGGUCUAUUUGUUAAUUGUUGAGUGACUAAGUAUUACUUACCAAUUACAACAGAUCAUUGCACUUUCAAUUACUGGAGGUUUGAAUGUUGUGUUAUGGUGUAUAUAUCUCUAUAAUCAUCAUAACGAAGAUGGGGGAUGACGUCUGCAUAUUGAGGGGCCAAAUACCAUCUCUGCUCUCUUUGAUCUCUGCUUCGCGUUCUUCGAUUUUUGCUUCGUGAUCUCUUCCAUCUCUGCUUUCUCCGUGAUUUCUUCUUUUCUGAUCGACUUCUAUUCGAAUUGAAAACCUUCUAGAGCUCUCUUCUCCAAAUUACAGCAGCAAUUUUGCUCCAAAUCUUUCCAAUUGAAAAAACCCACAUCAUUAUCAUCUAUUCCUCAUCACCACGGAGCCGAAGGGUUCUUCAACAUUAAGAUUCAGAUACCCGAGGUUGGUUCAAGGAUUUUGCCUCUGAACUCAAUUCAGGUACGCAUGGUCUCUCUGUACUUUGAUUCUCUCAUUAGCUCUUCGCUUCGGCACCGACAAAGUCUCGAACAUGAAAUUAUUGAAUUAGUUGGCAUGUUUUUUUCCACUACCUGAGCAACUGACGGAAAUCUAGGCCUGCCAUUUGACUAAUUGACUUCAAAUCUUAUCAAACAUCCUCAAUUUUUAUUGAGAUUUUUAGUUGAUCUGAAAAACCUGACAAAAAUCUUUACAAUUACGAUAUGUUGUUUGACGGAGAUCUUUCAGCUCAAUCUCCUCCCUUCAUCUGUUUCUUCUGCUCUCUUUAUUGAUCUCUCAAACCUGAAAGGACCAACAAUAUGAAUACAAACAGAGUCAAACAGAGCCCACAUAUGCCAAACACCAACAACCCCUCACAUCCUUCACCCCAAAACACACAGAAAGAAAAAGGAAGAAGGAACGUACGUGUUCUCUUUUCUUUUCCUCCUCAAAGUCACCAUGUUUUCGCUUUCGAGCGACCUCUUUCCCAUCAAAGUGCACCUAAGUGAGAAAGAAAAAUAAAGAUAUUGAAAUAUGCUUAUUCGUUAUUAACAAAGUUGAAAGAGACUGCAAUAUACCAUAUGGCUUCAGCAAAUGCUUGAGCUCACCACACAUGUAUGGAAUUAGUGCAUAUAAUUGAAGUAGAUAUGAAUUGUAUUUUUAGCAUUUGAAUUAUCAGCCAUUCGUAAUGAGAGGAGUUAACACGUUUAGAUGCCAAUA